rnacentral:lncRNA from 1 species
CCCCUUGCCCCAGCAAGGCAAUUGCACUUGAGAGGAUUAUUAUUAUUAUUAUUAUUAUUAUUAUUAUUAUUUAAAGAGAUAGUGGGUUUUGCUCUUUGAAGAAUGAACGAAAUGAAAAGAAUAUAGAAAAGCAUGAGGGAAAAUGAUAAAGAUUCUGCCAGAAAUAUGACAGUUCACUGGCAGAAGCAAGCGGGUACCAAGGAUUAGGUAAAAUGGAUACGAAUCUCCGCCGAUUUUUAAAACUCCGUUUCCUGCAACCACUAGAUGGCAUUAGUGUUCGUGAAAAGAUGGCGUCCGGUGGUCACUGCUGUUGUACUGCUUCUUUUUGCAGCAAUUAUAAGAAGAAAACGCCGCAAAUAUCAUUCUUCCGAUUUCCCAGAGAUGCUGAAAGGUAUGUAUGUGUAAUAAUAGCAUAAUAGUAUUGUAAUCAUCUGCCAUCUUAUGCGUUCUUCGAAUGUAGAAUUUAAUGAAAUAGCCAACGAACAAAUAUUGUUCAAAAGGCUUUAUGGCGUGUAAUAAAACUGAUUCUAUAAAUUAACGAGAAAGUCAUUUUAAAAAUUAAUAUUUUUAAAGGUACAAAUGUAGAUUUGUUAAAUUUUAAAAAUUUUCUGCUAAUUUUUAUAGAUGUAUGGAAUGGCUUAAAUUUGUCGAGAGAGAAGAAUUAAAAGAACUAACACCCGAAAUUUUAAAUAAAAGAUAUACCAUUUGCGCCGAACAUUUUGAAGAGAUUGGAAAUAUGCCCAAAAUUAAUGUCAUCAUUGUAUCAGAGUUUAUGUAUACAAUAAACGUAUAUUGUUCUUAAUACAAAAAUGUAUUCAAAUGUAUUUAGAAAAAAUUUUUUAAUAAAAUUAUUUUAUUCCUA